AGAGUUUGAUCCUGGCUCAGGAUGAACGCUGGCGGCGUGCUUAACACAUGCAAGUCGAACGAAGCACUUAAGACAGAUCUUUUCGGAGUGAAGACUUUUGUGACUGAGUGGCGGACGGGUGAGUAACGCGUGGGUAACCUGCCUCAUAGAGGGGGACAACAGUUGGAAACGACUGCUAAUACCGCAUAGUAAGGAGAAUUCGCAUGUUUUCUUCUUGAAAGCUUUUGCGCUAUGAGAUGGACCCGCGUCUGAUUAGCUAGUUGGUAAGGUAACGGCUUACCAAGGCGACGAUCAGUAGCCGGCUUGAGAGAGUGAACGGCCACAUUGGGACUGAGACACGGCCCAGACUCCUACGGGAGGCAGCAGUGGGGAAUAUUGCACAAUGGGGGAAACCCUGAUGCAGCGACGCCGCGUGAGUGAAGAAGUAUUUCGGUAUGUAAAGCUCUAUCAGCAGGGAAGAUAAUGACGGUACCUGACUAAGAAGCCCCGGCUAACUACGUGCCAGCAGCCGCGGUAAUACGUAGGGGGCAAGCGUUAUCCGGAUUUACUGGGUGUAAAGGGAGCGCAGACGGCGAUGCAAGUCUGGAGUGAAAGCCCGGGGCUCAACCCCGGGACUGCUUUGGAAACUGUAUGGCUAGAGUGCUGGAGAGGCAAGCGGAAUUCCUAGUGUAGCGGUGAAAUGCGUAGAUACUAGGAGGAACACCAGUGGCGAAGGCGGAUUGCUGGACGAUAACUGACGGUGAGGCGCGAAAGUGUGGGGAGCAAACAGGAUUAGAUACCCUGGUAGUCCACACUGUAAACGAUGAAUACUAGGUGUUGGGUUCCAAAGGAACUCGGUGCCGUCGCAAACGCAUUAAGUAUUCCACCUGGGGAGUACGUUCGCAAGAAUGAAACUCAAAGGAAUUGACGGGGACCCGCACAAGCGGUGGAGCGUGUGGUUUAAUUCGAAGCAACGCGAAAAACCUUACCAAGUCUUGACAUCCUGAUGACGGUUCCUUAACCGGAACUUUUCUUCGGAACAUCAGAGACAGGUGGUGCAUAGUUGUCGUCAGCUCGUGUCGUGAGAUGUUGGGUUAAGUCCCGCAACGAGCGCAACCCUUAUCUUUAGUAGCCAGCGGUCAGGCCGGGCACUCUAGAGAGACUGCCAGGGAUAACCUGGAGGAAGGCGGGGAUGACGUCAAAUCAUCAUGCCCCUUAUGACUUGGGCUACACACGUGCUACAAUGGCGUAAACAAAGGGAAGCAAAGCUGUGAAGCCGAGCAAAUCUCAAAAAUAACGUCUCAGUUCGGACUGUAGUCUGCAACCCGACUACACGAAGCUGGAAUCGCUAGUAAUCGCAGAUCAGAAUGCUGCGGUGAAUACGUUCCCGGGUCUUGUACUCACCGCCCGUCA
rnacentral:rRNA from 1 species